rnacentral:rRNA from 1 species
UUGGUUAAGUUAGAAAGGGCGCACGGUGGAUGCCUUGGCACUAGGAGCCGAAGAAGGACGGGACUAACACCGAUAUGCUUUGGGGAGCUGUACGUAAGCGUUGAUCCAGAGAUUUCCGAAUGGGGGAACCCACUAUCUUUAGUCGGAUAGUAUCCUUACGUGAAUACAUAGCGUGAGGAAGGCAGACCCAGGGAACUGAAACAUCUAAGUACCUGGAGGAAGAGAAAGAAAAAUCGAUUUCCUGAGUAGCGGCGAGCGAAACGGAAAGAGCCCAAACCAAGAAGCUUGCUUCUUGGGGUUGUAGGACACUCUAUACGGAGUUACAAAAGAAAGUUAUAAAUGAAGCGGUCUGGAAAGGCCCGCCAAAGACGGUAACAGCCCGGUAGUUGAAAUGGCUUUCCCUCCAGAGUGGAUCCUGAGUACGGCGGAACACGUGAAAUUCCGUCGGAAUCCGGGAGGACCAUCUCCCAAGGCUAAAUACUCCCUAGUGACCGAUAGUGAACCAGUACCGUGAGGGAAAGGUGAAAAGCACCCCGGAAGGGGAGUGAAACAGUUCCUGAAACCGUGUGCCUACAAGUAGUUAGAGCCCGUUAAUGGGUGAUAGCGUGCCUUUUGUAGAAUGAACCGGCGAGUUACGAUUUGUUGCAAGGUUAAGCGGAAAAAGCGGAGCCGUAGCGAAAGCGAGUCUGAAUAGGGCGCAUAAGUAACAGGUCGUAGACCCGAAACCAGGUGAUCUACCCAUGUCCAGGAUGAAGGUAAGGUAAUACUUACUGGAGGUCCGAACCCACGCACGUUGAAAAGUGCGGGGAUGAGGUGUGGGUAGCGGAGAAAUUCCAAUCGAACUUGGAGAUAGCUGGUUCUCUCCGAAAUAGCUUUAGGGCUAGCCUCGAGGUAAAGAGUCAUGGAGGUAGAGCACUGUUUGGACUAGGGGCCCUUCUCGGGUUACCGAAUUCAGAUAAACUCCGAAUGCCAUGUACUUAUACUCGGGAGUCAGACUGCGAGUGAUAAGAUCCGUAGUCGAAAGGGAAACAGCCCAGACCACCAGUUAAGGUCCCCAAAUAUAUGUUAAGUGGAAAAGGAUGUGGGGUUGCUUAGACAACCAGGAUGUUGGCUUAGAAGCAGCCACCAUUGAAAGAGUGCGUAAUAGCUCACUGGUCGAGUGACCCCGCGCCGAAAAUGUACCGGGGCUAAACAUAUUACCGAAACUGUGGAUGAACCUCUUUAGAGGUUCGUGG